GGAGGGGGAGGAGGAGAUGGAGGUUGUAGGUGUUUGAUGAAAUGCCCAACCGUCGAUUUGUACGAGACGGCCGCCAAUUGCUUCAAGCUCGCCAAGAACUGGGAGAGAGCUGGUGCCGUGUACAUCAAAUUAGUGAAUUGUCACUUAAAGAUUUAAUGAGUCCUCUAUGAAAUGUUCUGAAAAGUCAUGCGCUUGCUAUGCUGACUAAGGGUUACAUGUGUGCGCGGGAACUUGGUGAAUUAUAUGAGAAAGAACAAGACAUUGAGAAGGCUAUGGACUACUUUGAGCGAGCUGCAGAUCUUUUCCAGAGUGAGGAUGUAACAACGUCUGCAAAUCAAUGCAUGCAGAAAGUUGCUGAAUUUUUCUGCUCAAGCUAGAACAUUUUGAUUGUGAAAUUUUUGUUCCGUUAUAUAUGAAGGCUAUAAUCCAUGGGGUUGAUACGAAUUAAGUAACUACUCCCGAUGCUGAGUAUAAUGUCAUCCGUGCCAGGCUAGCAGCUGAACUUCUAAUAGAAGGAUGUCAACAGAAGAAUCAAGCAGAGACAUUUGAUAAGGAUAGGAGAAAGCUAUUCUAAAAAAUGAUUGGUUGAACCAAAACAUGUGUGCAUGUCUGUAUUGUGUAUAUUAGUUUAGUUGUGUAAACAGUUAAUGUGGAUGACAAACAAUGCAGCAAGCUUGACCUUUAUUA